rnacentral:tRNA from 1 species
AAGGAUAUAGCUCAAGGGGUAGAGCGUAUGCUUAGCAAGCAUGAGGUCCUGGGUUCAAUCUGCAGUAUCUCCU